GUCCCGUCUGACAACAGCAUGCUCACGUCACUCCAGGACUGUUUUCACGUGAGGAGAAAAAGAGGAGAGAUUUAAAGUUGCACCAGUCGAAGCUCUCUGCAUCUUGUGUCAUUGAUCCAGGUGUGAGCUGGCUCCACUAAAAAAAAAAGUUGGGAGUUGAACUUUCAGAGGCGCCAUGACGGUGAGGUCCAAUUAACAGCUGAUUUGCUGCAGGUGGAGCUGUGAGUCCAAGCAGAUGGCGUCUCACAUCAGGACCACUGCCAUUUCCUUCUUGGCGUUGAAGGUGUGACUGCUUCUCCUGACACACUUACCUCUC